rnacentral:rRNA from 1 species
UACGUAGGGUGCGAGCGUUGUCCGGAAUUACUGGGCGUAAAGAGCUCGUAGGCGGUGUGUCACGUCGGCCGUGAAAACCUGCAGCUUAACUGUGGGCGUGCGGUCGAUACGGGCAUCACUGGAGUUCGGCAGGGGAGACUGGAAUUCCUGGUGUAGCGGUGAAAUGCGCAGAUAUCAGGAGGAACACCGGUGGCGAAGGCGGGUCUCUGGGCCGAUACUGACGCUGAGGAGCGAAAGCGUGGGGGAGCAAACAGG